AUUGAACGCUGGCGGCAUGCUUUACACAUGCAAGUCGAACGGUAACAGGCCGCAAGGUUCUGACGAGUGGCGAACGGGUGAGUAAUGCAUCGGAACGUGCCCAGUCGUGGGGGGUAACUGCUCGAAAGAGUAGCUAAUACCUCAUACGAUCUAUGGAUGAAAGCGGGGGACCGUAAGUCCUCGCGCGAUUGGAGCGGCCGAUGUCAGAUUAGGUAGUUGGUGGGGUAAAGGCUCACCAAGCCAACGAUCUGUAGCUGGUCUGAGAGGACGACCAGCCACACUGGGACUGAGACACGGCCCAGACUCCUACGGGAGGCAGCAGUGGGGAAUUUUGGACAAUGGGCGCAAGCCUGAUCCAGCAAUGCCGCGUGCAGGAAGAAGGCCUUCGGGUUGUAAACUGCUUUUGUACGGAACGAAACGGCUCUGGUUAAUACCCGGGGCUAAUGACGGUACCGUAAGAAUAAGCACCGGCUAACUACGUG
rnacentral:rRNA from 1 species